rnacentral:other from 1 species
CGCACCCUGGGGUGUUCGCCAGUCAAAUACGUCCUUGGCCGAUAUUGUCACCAUGGGUUUCUCCAACCAGGGCCGUUGUGCAUGUCCGCGCGUCGGAAAGCCUGAAGCCCGCCGGAGAUUCCCACCUUGAGCCUUCGGUUCAAGGCAUCCUUGGCAGCGGCAUUUCGGGGCCCCU